GGAAGUAAAAGUCGUAACAAGGUUUCCGUAGGUGAACCUGCGGAAGGAUCAUUCACAAUGAUAUAUUUCACCAUGUGAACCUGCCAAUGGCUUUGGCCAUUGGCCAUCUCACGCACCAGUCUGUUCAGGUGCGUGGCUACUUCGGUAGCUCACAGACAACUUGUGGUGGUUUUGAAGUCGAGAUAUUCCUAAGCUCUAUAUACUAUUAGCGGUGGAUGUCUUGGCUCCCACAACGAUGAAGGCCGCAGCAAAAUGCGAAACGCAUUGUGAUUUGCGGAAUUCUGUGAGUCAAUAGGUCGCUGAACGCAAACGGCACUACUCUCUGAGUAGUAGGUCUGUUUCAGUCUCAGUUACGAUCUCAUCAAACAACUUUUAUAAGUUGCUAUUGAUGAGUUAAGGUGCUGCUCGAUUCGUCUGGCAGUCGCAGCGUUCUAUAACAGUUCAUUAGGUUAACAUAUUGGUUCACCCUAUGUUGCCGAAGAACUACUAAGUUAUAGCGUACUAAACCCUAUGAGCUGAAAUCAGACCAGGCUGCCCGCUGGACUUAAGCAUAUUAGUCAGCGGAGGA
rnacentral:rRNA from 1 species